rnacentral:lncRNA from 1 species
GUGAGUGCCUCAAGCCCUGCGGGAAAUCUGCCCCUGCCGACCGGCCCAGGGCUGCUGGAGGACCAAGCACCGGCUUUGGUUUUUCACGAACUGCUUGAAAACUCUCCUUUUACACCGGUGUCCACUGUGGUGGGCGGCGAUGGGGGCUUUGCAGAGCCCGGGUCUCGUUCCGUGUGCACAGCGCUGGGGACAGGCGGGGCUGGGGGUGCGGCUGGUUCCUCCAGAGUCUGAGCCCCAGGCCCUGCCCGCCGGGCGCACUUCCCAGCCGGGCGCCCCCACCCCGUCAGCGUCAGCGUCAGCGUCAGCGUCAGCGGAGCUUCUCCCCAGCGCAGACGCCUGCUCCCCCCCCAUCUCAAAAGGCAAACAAACCGCUUUCCCCUCCGUCUGUGUCCUCAGUUACCACUCGAUUCCGCAGAAGCCUGUAGUGUACCUUUUCAGAUUCCUGGUGGGAGGCAUAGCUCUCGUCCUAGUUACCCUUUGGCAGGGGAGAAGAUCUGCUUCAGGAGCCCCAGCUAACACUGACCCCCAACAUGACUGUGCCAGACACCAGAGGCAUCCUGGCCACAGGCAAGGCCCCAACGGACCUCCCAAGGCCCAUAAGCAAAGCUAAGGGUUCUAUGAGCAGCUUUCCCUGGAGCCACGCAGAGUCCUCCCCAUCCAGGUUCCAAACGGCUCUCCCACCGCUGGCUUCCUGGACCUCCACCUCAGCUCAGCCUGGGCAGUCCUGCUGCUCCUCUCCCGAAGAGAAGAUGGGGGCCCACAGAGACCGCCGGCGAGAUCCCCUGGUCCUGUGCUGUGUGUGGCUCCCACUCACCACCUUGUGCGCUUCCCUGCCCUUGAGUCCUGGAGACACAAAUACAUGCAGCUAAUCACCUCUUUUUAGUCACUCGUUCACUUGACAAUAGUGCAUCGAUACAUACUUAUGGAGCAUUUGUUUGACGCAUUCGGUCUUCUACCAUGGCAGGACCUGGGGAACGCUGUAAACGUGACUUUGUCCUGGACCUCAAGGACCUUCCGGCCUCCCGAGAGCUUCAGCAGGUGUAUUCACCAGUUUUCCUCACUCUUACAAAACACCCAAUGCAGGCCAUUCAUGCAGAAAGAGGUUUAUGCCACUCAGUUUGGGAGCUUCAAAGCCGUGGUACCUCCAUUGGCUGAUACAGUAUAAAAAGUUGAGUGAAAGUUUGGGUUGCAGUUAAGGGGAAGGGGAAGGAUAGGAGGGAAAAUAAAACAUGUUACUGCAUGCGUGAAUGUG